GGAUCCUUGACUCUCAGAUACAGUCGAUGCCAAAAUCAGUUGACUAUACCCGAAAAAGAACAAGGGUGAGAAGUAAAUUGAAAGUGCUUCCAAUGUCUUCUGCAAGUAGUGGCAGUGACCACGAGUCAAAGAAGGAGGGAGAAUCAAGGCAAAGAACUAAAAAGGAGACACUAAGG